AUACGGAAGAUGCGAGCGUUAUCCGGAUUUAUUGGGUUUAAAGGGUGCGCAGGCGGCAUGUCAAGUCAGCGGUCAAAGUUCCGGGCUCAACCCGGUGAUGCCGUUGAAACUGGCGCGCUUGAGUUCGUGGGAGGAAGGCGGAAUGCGAGGUGUAGCGGUGAAAUGCAUAGAUAUCACGCAGAACCCCGAUUGCGAAGGCAGCCUUCAAUCACGCCACUGACGCUUAGGCACUAAAGCGUGGGUAUCGAACAGGAUUAGAUACCCUGGUAGUCCACGCAGUAAACUAUGAUAACUGGCUUUUGGCGAUAGACGGUCAGAGGCUGAGAGAAAUCAAUAAGUUAUCCACCUGGGGAGUACGAUGGCAACAUUGAAACUCAAAGGAAUUGACGGGG
rnacentral:rRNA from 1 species